rnacentral:rRNA from 1 species
GACGUAGGGCGCGAGCGUUGUCCGGAUUUAUUGGGCGUAAAGAGCUCGUAGGCGGCUUGUCGCGUCGUUCGUGAAAACCUGCAGCUCAACUGCAGGCUUGCGGUCGAUACGGGCAGGCUAGAGUUCGGUAGGGGAGACUGGAAUUCCUGGUGUAGCGGUGAAAUGCGCAGAUAUCAGGAGGAACACCCGUGGCUAAGGCGGUUCUCUAGUACGGUACUGACGCUGAGACGCGAAAGCGUGGGGAGCGAACAGG